rnacentral:lncRNA from 1 species
GCGGCGCUGGCGGCCCUGUGCAGCGCGGAGCGCAAAGGUGGAGCAGUAGCGCUGGGCUAGUGUAGGCGUACGUUUGCGGCUCGGAGUGAGCGCGCGCAACAUGGUUUAGACGAUGCAAAAGCUUGGGUGCUGGAGAGCCAGUGCAGGUGCUGGAGCGGCAGGAACGUGGGCGGCGCCGAGCGGGUCGUGUGAGCGUGCGCGCAGUGGCGCGCAGAGCGGAUUCAGACACGUGAGCGACAGCGCCAUGCGGGCCAAGGACGCGCGCGGUUCGAGCGUGCGCGGGGGCAAUACGGCAAGGCAGAAGCAAUCGACACCGAGCCCCUGCGUAAGAAUCGGCGGUGCGUAGCGGGGCUUUUGCGCGAGAAGCGGGAACACGGUGGCGUCGACCCUGACUACGCCACGGUGAUCUUUGGUGGUGCAGGAGUGGCUGUAUUGAAGAUGCAGUUAAGGUGUUCGACGAAAUGUUGGCCGCGGGAGAAGUGAUGCCAACUGCGGUGAUGUGCAAUGUAUUGAUCGGAGGCCGUCGAGGAGAGGGCAACGGAAGGCACGACCCUAAUGCAAGCAAGACCACAAGUCACCACGGGGAUUACCCCUUCGACCAUCUUCCACCUACGGCAACCCUCCCCGACAAACUUUUUCAUCAUCCACGGGAUCUCGUCAUCGUCGAGCUUUUCUCUUCGCCGAUCCUGUUCGCCACGGGAAUUCACCUUUUACCCGUUCUUCCUCCACAUCCGAAAUUACCUCAAGGUUUGGCCUAACCUACUGAAUCUUCUUAAUGCCGGCAAUUCCUUUGCCGGGAUAUCGUCGUUAACAUCCUGUUAUCUGUUUUCCCGGACUAGGGACUUGAUUGCUACGUUUUAGAAAGUUCUAGGGUGUUUUCUGUAAGAUUGCCAGAACUUUCUUUAUUUCAAAUCGAUGAACUUCUACAUUUCAUAGAUUUUCAUAGGAAGUUCAUAAAAAUGUAAAAUCAGUUUCGUUUGAAACCCUAAGUCAAAACCUAUAAGUUUUAAGUUGUGAUCUUGAGUGAAAUUGAUGUGUGGUUUAGGUCAAAUGUUAGGGAAUGAAUGUUUUGUUGUGCUUUAUAUUGUAUGCUUGUGUUAUAACUGAAAAGUAAGCCAUAGAAUAUAGAUCUUAAAUAGAAAUAUGUGAUGUUUCGUUAAACCUUUCAUAUGAGUGCUCAUAUCCCUGCCAUCAAGACAUUGUCCCCGUCUCGAUUGCUGCUUCUUUAGGUUCCUUGUCGUAUAAGGAUCCCCGUUAGUUCUUGUGUGUCUGCUACUUAGCCAAAACAUCUCUGCGGCUAUGCUUCAGCGUUGGCUAUCAUUUCAGCUGCUAAGCAUCCGCUUUCCUUGAGUCUAGGAUGUUUCUGUGUAAUAGCUGUCAGUCGAUACUUCUAUCAUCGAUCGAUUAGCUGAUAUGGUUGUUACCUUUCUAGUAUCGGCUACUACCGAUACAAUUCUUUUAAUCUGUUCUGUAUCGACUGCACAGAGUCGAUGUAUCGGAGAAACACACACGAUCUUAGGGUUUUUGCCAUCGGCCGACCCAAGCCGAUUUUGAUUGCUUUCCCAUACCGGUCAAACACGGCCAAUCGAUCCUUAGUUUCCCCAUCCUUAUCCACACACUUCUAUCAGUCGAUUUAUCGACUGAGAGGUCGGUUUUAUACCUAUCGAUCAUAUACCCUUAACCACACCCCAAUCGGCUGUACGUCACUCAAUAGUUGUGCUGACGUAAUCGAGUCGAUACAACCACACUUAGUUACCUAGAAUAACACUUAAGCACAUCUUAGUUAAGACCAUUACUUUAGGAAUCAUCCUUCUACCAAGGUAAUCGAUGCUUUCAUCGAUCAUCUAGGAACCCGAUGCACCUUUCCAUCGGCUAAACCCUCGUUGUUUCCAAUCGGCUCUGUUGUGAUCUUCAACGAGCAGCCGAUUCCAAUUAGUUGUCCACCUAAAGCUCUAUCUAAGUUUAGUUUUAGAUCUUUUUAGGUGUAAUGUGAAUAGUAUGUUAUAAGAGUGUUGGAUUGUAACUGUAUUGAGAAGUAAGGUAGUUUUAUGUGCGCACUUUGAAUGUAAUGUCGCAUUGCAUGUAGAUACGAUUAUUUCGGCAACGGUACCUACGAGAUCUCCCCGGAGUCUACGGAGGAUGUUCCUGAAGACCGAGUGAAUGUCACCAAGGGAUUAACUGAAGCCCCGAACCAAAGUUCGGAAGAUAUUGACAUUUCUGACUUCAGACCCACCAGUAAAGGCAAGCCCCGGACAUAUCACACUACUUUAUUUACACUGCAAUCUACGUCUAUUUAUCUACACUUAUGCAUUACGUCUAGGAGUUGUAAUGAAAACCCUAGAUGCAUUGAUACUAGGAACCAAUGUAUUGAACCUGAGUCCAUAUCGGCUAGAUGCUCUGCUAAAUAGGGCCGGUAAAAGUCGGGUGAUUUCCUAUCACUCGCGCGAUAUAAGAGUUGCUUGUUUACAUUUCUGCAACCACUAUAAGGAUGACGGACAGGGUCAUG